rnacentral:rRNA from 1 species
GAUGAACGCUGGCGGCGUGCUUAAUACAUGCAAGUCGAGCGAACAGACGCGGCGCUUGCUCCUCUCACGUUAGCGGCGGACGGGUGAGUAACAUGAGGAUAACCCACCUAUCAGACUGGUAUAACUUCGGGAAACGGGAGCUAAUACCGGAUAAUAUAUUGAACCACAUGGUUCAAUAGUGAAAGUCGGUUUUGCUGUCUCUUAUAGCUGGAUCCGCGCUGCAUUGGCUAGUUGGUAGGCUAACAGCUUAUCAAGGCAACGAUGCGUAGCCGACCGGUGAGACGGAUCGGCCGCCUGGGAGGUGAGACGCGGACCAUGCGCCUGCGGGAGGCAGCAGUAGGGAAUCUUCGGCAAUGGGCGGAAACCUUACGGAGCGACGCGGAGUGAGUGAUGGAGAUCUUCGGUGCGGAAAACCCUGUUAUGGGUGAAGAACAAAUGUGUAAGUAACUAUGCACUUCUUGACGGUACCGAAUCAAGAAGCCACGGCUAACUACGUG